GCGGUUGCCGUGGCAGCGCCGGCUCCAGGGAGGGCUGCUGGCGCCGGGCCGGGACCGCGGGGCCUGAGGCGGAGACCGGAGAGCCCCCGGCCCGGCCGGAGGCAGCUCGGGACAGGCUUGAGCGGCGGGGCGCGCUGCCCGGCCGGCGGGGAUGCGGGACCGGCUGCCAGACCUGACGGCGUGUAGGAAGAAUGAUGAUGGAGACACAGUUGUUGUGGUUGAGAAAGAUCAUUUCAUGGAUGAUUUCUUCCAUCAGGUGGAGGAGAUUAGAAACAGUAUUGAUAAAAUAACUCAAUAUGUUGAAGAAGUAAAGAAAAACCACAGCAUCAUUCUUUCUGCACCAAACCCGGAAGGAAAAAUAAAAGAAGAGCUUGAAGAUCUGAACAAAGAAAUCAAGAAAACUGCGAAUAAAAUUCGAGCCAAGUUAAAGGCUAUUGAACAAAGUUUUGAUCAGGAUGAGAGUGGGAACCGGACUUCAGUGGAUCUUCGGAUACGAAGAACCCAGCAUUCGGUGCUGUCUCGGAAGUUUGUGGAAGCCAUGGCGGAGUACAAUGAGGCACAGACUCUGUUUCGGGAGCGGAGCAAGGGCCGCAUCCAGCGCCAGCUGGAGAUAACUGGGAGAACCACCACAGACGACGAGCUAGAAGAGAUGCUGGAGAGCGGGAAGCCAUCCAUCUUCACUUCCGACAUUAUAUCAGAUUCACAAAUUACUAGACAAGCUCUCAAUGAAAUCGAGUCACGUCACAAGGACAUCAUGAAGCUGGAGACCAGCAUCCGAGAGUUGCAUGAGAUGUUCAUGGACAUGGCUAUGUUUGUGGAGACUCAGGGUGAAAUGAUCAACAACAUAGAAAGAAACGUUAUGAAUGCCACAGACUAUGUAGAACACGCUAAAGAAGAAACAAAAAAAGCUAUCAAAUAUCAGAGCAAGGCAAGAAGGCUUGCUUUUCUUUGACAGAAAAAGUGGAUAAUUAUUGCUGUGUCAGUGGUUCUGGUUGCCAUAAUCACUCUAAUUAUUGGCUUGUCAGUUGGCAAAUGAUGGUGUGGAUAACGUCAGUGUGCAUGCUUCUCUGCCAGGGUGGGAAAAAUGAUGUUCAUUGUUAUUUGUGUAAUUGUUUUGCUUGUGAUCCUUGGAAUUAUCCUAGCAACAACAUUGUCAUAGCAACCAUAUCCCAAGAGCCAUUUAUCCUUGAGACUCAGACCACAUCUGCAACCAAAUCAGCAUCCUGUCAUUUCGUGAAUGAAUCUCAGACGCUGUAACCCGGCAUUGAGUGCUGACCUUGUAAUGUAUGAGUUCACGGAAGAAGCACAACCGAACAUCUCGUUCAGUGAAAGCGCCGUAAGCACAGUGGGUGUGAUGCGUGACCCUGAAUGACACACUACAGAAUGUGAGCAGUGUGAGGCUUCUCUCACUGGCCUUGAAAUAAGAAAAUAUUGAACAUUUUAAUAUUAAAAAUAUUUCAGUGUUAACAAAUGUGCAUGAAGUUUAAUUAGGAAGGAAUGCUUUAUGUUAUGAAGCUUUUUUUUUUUUUUGAGACGGAGUCUCGCUUUGUCAUCCAGGCUGGAGUGCAGUGGUGCGAUCUCAGCUCACUGCAACCUCAGCCUCCCGGGUUCAAGCAAUUCUCCUGCCUCAGCCUCCCGAGUAGCUGGGAUUACAGGCAUGGGCCACCACGCCCAGCUAAUUUUUUGUGUUUUCUUUUUAGUAGAGACGGGGUUUUACCAUGCUGGCCAGGCUGGCCUCAAACUCCUGACCUUGUGAUCCACCCACCUCAGCCUCCCAAAGUGCUGGGAUUACAGGCGUGAGCCACCCGGCAGGCCGUUCUGAAGCUUUGAGAUCUCAGGUCUAAGGCUUCCUUUCCCUCCCUCUCCCAGCUAGUAUGUGCUAAUUAAGAGACCUUUUAUACUGUUUUGUUUAUUGCCUGUUUGAAGAAAUAAUUUUUAUCACGUUUUUGUAAGAUAUCUAUAAUUUUAAAUGUUUAUAAAUUGCUUAAUUUAUUAGCAUCUUAAUGUACCCCAUUUUUAUAUACUGAAUGUGGCCUUUUGAGUGAAAUAGGAAGCUUCAUGGUGUUGGAGCCACCUUUGUACAGUUGUUUAAAGUUUCCCAUUGUCAUAGAAGACAUUGGUUGCAAAGCCCCUCAAAGCCCUCAAGUGCCUUCUGUGAGUUUAAAUGUGCUGGUGCCCUCGAGAAAAGCCUCGGCCUCAGCUCCGUUUCCGCCUGUUCCCUCCCCCAGGAUAAUGAAUGGUUACUUCACUGUAAAGACCGUGGUCUCUUUUCACUAAAUAGAUUCGAGUUUCCCAGUUUACAUGAAUGAAGUCUGAAUUUAAGACGGUGAUGAAACUGAGGUUCAGUACUCUCGGGACUCGAGGAAAUUAUUCCUGAGACAUGGAGUAAUUCUUACAAAUUUAAACUAUUGUACAGAUCACAUACAUGUUGUUAAGUACCUAAUGUUUUGCUGAACUUUAAAAGUUAAUUUCCAAAAUGUAUAGGGAUUCAUGAUAAUUAAACCUUUUUAUUGCUCUUUUUUUAGUAGAAGAAUAUCACUUAUUUUUAGACUUGUAAAAUGUAUGAACUGGUGAGCGGACAUCUGUUAAGAGAGUCACUAGUCAGAAUGCUAAAGGAGUGCAUGCAGGAUGCCCCAAGUAUCGUGAACGCUUGUUACUCCUGUAUGUGGUAGUGUAAGCAUGUGACUUUUAACACCAUUUGGCUUGAAACUAAUGUAGGGAUGCCUGAUUCCAAACAGGUGUGGAGAAUAUUGAACGGCUCAGAAGCCGCGUCCCUUACUUAACACAAUUCCGAAUCUCCCUCAUCCAUGACGCGUCCAUUGGAUCACUCGCUGGUGGUCACUGUGUGGCAGUUACUAGGGGAAUUCUGCCUCUGACUGUUUUUUUUCUUUUGGUCUUUAAACACCCUGUUGUGGGAUGUGCUCACUGAUUUGUGGCUAUGUUGAAGGUAUCACUUGUCAUGAGGGUUUUCAAUAUUUCAGGAUCAUGCUGGUGGCAAAAGGACUCCAUGCCUCUGUGGAAUCAUGUCCACGGGGGGACCUGCCUCCCGUGAUGUCCCACCUUUCCUUCAAGGUCUGUCAUAUGAGUCCUCCCCUUUUACAACACUUAUUAUGGUAUUUUUCAAGUUAUUCUUCUUAGAUUUGCAGUACCUGCUGAAAUUUGUGUUUUUAUAGUUGAAGUUAGGAAAAUGCUAUUUGAUUUGUAUUUAGAUAUUUACAUCACUUGUCCAAUGACGUGUAUGUCUAAGCCUCAUGUACCGAUUUGAAGUCAGACUUAAAAAUGUAUUUACAGAUUCACUUGAGACUUUUUAAUCGGUUCUUCAAAUAUUUCAUGUUUACAUUAAAAAUUUCCAGAGAAGCAUAAAAGUAUUCACUUUCCUGCCUUGUCAUUUCUGGAAAGAUUUUGGGGAGAUAUUUUAUUGCAUAUUCAUUAAUAAAUUGUUCUAUUAGGAAAA